rnacentral:rRNA from 1 species
AUGCCUCCUAUCUAUGAUUAUUAUUGUGAUGACACGUAUGCUUUAAAGAAUAAUGAUAACCAUGAAACGUGUCAUCUUGAUCUUAAUUUUCAAUCACAUGAUAGUUAUUUUGUUGAGUUUGCUCCCACUUCUAUUCAUGAGAAGAAAUUUGCUUAUGUUGAGAGUAGUAAAUUUUCUAUGCUUGUAGAUCAUGAAAAGAAUGCUUUAGGUGCUGGUUAUAUUGUUGAAUGCAUUCAUGAUGCUACUGAAAAUUAUUAUGAGAGAGGAACAUAUGCUUGUAGGAAUUGCCAUAAUGUCAAGUUUCCUCUCGAUGUGCUUAAAAUUUUGAAGCUAUGCUUGUGUUACCUUCCUAUGCUAGUUGAUUAUUGUUCACAUAAGUUGUUUGCUCACAAAAUUCCUAUGCAUAGGAAGUGGGUUAGACUUAAAUGUGCUAGUCAUAUGCUUCAUGAGGCUCUCUUUAUGUUUCAAUCCUUAUCUUUUAUGUGA